rnacentral:rRNA from 1 species
CGGGGAAUAUUGCACAAUGGGCGCAAGCCUGAUGCAGCCAUGCCGCGUGUGUGAAGAAGGCCUUCGGGUUGUAAAGCACUUUCAGCGAGGAGGAAGGUGGUGAGCUUAAUACGCUCAUCAAUUGACGUUACUCGCAGAAGAAGCACCGGCUAACUCCGUGCCAGCAGCCGCGGUAAUACGGAGGGUGCAAGCGUUAAUCGGAAUUACUGGGCGUAAAGCGCACGCAGGCGGUUUGUUAAGUCGAAUGUGAAAUCCCCGGGCUCAACCUGGGAACUGCAUUUGAAACUGGCAAGCUAGAGUCUCGUAGAGGGGGGAUAGAAUUCCAGGUGUAGCGGUGAAAUGCGUAGAGAUCUGGAGGAAUACCGGUGGCGAAGGCGGCCCCCUGGACGAAGACUGACGCUCAGGUGCGAAAGCGUGGGGAGCAAAACAGGAUUAGAUACCCUGGUAGUCCACGCUGUAAACGAUGUCGAUUUUGGAGGUUGUGCUCUUGAGGCGUGGCUUCCGGAGCUAACGC